GACGAACGCUGGCGGCGUGCUUAACACAUGCAAGUCGAGCGGUAAGGCCCCUUCGGGGGUACACGAGCGGCGAACGGGUGAGUAACACGUGAGUAACCUGCCCCAUUCUUUGGAAUAACCAGUGGAAACGCUGGCUAAUGCCGAAUAUGACCAUCGAAGGCAUCUUCUGGUGGUGGAAAGCUUCGGCGGAGUGGGAUGGACUCGCGGCCUAUCAGCUUGUUGGUGAGGUAACGGCUCACCAAGGCGACGACGGGUAGCCGGCCUGAGAGGGCGACCGGCCACACGGGGACUGAGACACGGCCCAGACUCCUACGGGAGGCAGCAGUGGGGAAUAUUGGACAAUGGGCGAAAGCCUGAUCCAGCAACGCCGCGUGAGGGAUGACGGCCUUCGGGUUGUAAACCUCUUUCAGCAGGGACGAAGCGAAAGUGACGGUACCUGCAGAAGAAGGACCGGCCAACUACGUGCCAGCAGCCGCGGUAACAC
rnacentral:rRNA from 1 species